AAAUCCUAAGAACUUCAAUCUCUCUCUCUCUCUCUCAUCAUUGUGCUCUCCGAUCUCUCGGGCUCUUAUUCCCUCUCCGUCCUCUCUCAAUUUAUCGAGUGGUGUGGCGUGGUGGGUUUGGAGACGCCGAAAUCGAGUGGGGGUGCGGACGAUGGUUCCUGGCCAAGACGUUCAAGAAGGCCCUGAGAAUGCAACAAAUAUUAAAGCAUCAGCAGCAACAAGAAGCCCUGAUGCAGCAGGCGUUGCUGCAGCAGCAACAGCUCUACCAUCCCGGCUACCAUCUCAAUCUUGUAAAUGAACCCAGAAGAUGAAGCCAAGGAAGAUGGUGCCAAUGUUGAUUUUGACUCACAAAGGAUGGGGAAGUGUGUUAUGCUAAAAACAUCUACAUGCCAAGAUACCAAAUCAAUGCAUUCUCCAUCUCCUAUACAAAAUUCUAACUGCAGUUCAAAGUGCUUGACAAUUAGUUGUGGCCAAUGCUCUUCCAUGGAAUAUAUUCCCUAUCCCAAGAUUCAAAUGGUGUAUUUCUUGCUGCUCCUUGCAUGGAUAAUAGGUUUACAGAUUUGACUACAACUAUACGUUGGCUCGUUACUGUCAAAAUUUGCAGAGUUUGAUUUUUGACCUUGCAAAAGAGCACAUGCAUGAACUCCGAAAUGACCAAAAUGCAACAUUCAAGAAAUACUUUUGUAGGAACUCCAUGCUGGAUGGCUCCGGUGGUUUUGUAGCCAAGAAGUGGAUCUGAUUUCAAGUGAGCGUUGCUCCAUUUAAAGAACCUUGAUCUUAUACUUCAUUGUUGUAAAUGUGUCUUGUAGUUUUUUAGUGCAUGCUAGGUACUGUUAGCUUAUUCACAGGGUGUUUUCAUGUGGAGGAUGGACUCUGGGAAGUUUAACAGUAGUAGUCUUCUGCAUAUAUGCUCUGAGAGAACAUCUAUGAUCUAGUUUCUGGGUGUAAAUCUCUUCAAAAGUCAUGCCAAUUUUAUAUUUUAUAAUUAAUAUUCUAAUCACAGUUAUAAAUUUUAAGCUACAC